UGGCCGGUUAUUUAAGCCUGUAGAGGAACUGAUUAGACUAGAGUUUAAUGAGAAAAGGUCAGAACGGUUAGUGUAGAGAUAAAAUAUGUUGAUACAACCUUGAUACUGACAACAGCGAAAGCAAUCUUUUAUGUAAAAACUGACGUUAAAGGACGAAGGCUAUAGUAAAACAAUAGGAUUAGAUACCCUAGUAUUCGUAGCAGUAAAUGAUGAAUGUCAUAGGUAAGUAAUAUAGUUUACCUAAAAAUGAAAAUGUAAACAUUCCACCUUAAGAGUCACAGGGCAACGUAGGAAGUGAACUCAUUAGCCCGUUUCUGAACCCAGUAGUGAAGUAUGUUAGUUAAAUUGAUAAUCCACAAAGAACCUUCCCACAAUUUGAAUGUUAAUUCACAGGAGUUGCACGGCUGUCUUCAGUUGAUAUCGUGAGAUUUUGGUUGGCUCCAUUUAAUCAACGUAAACCCUUACUUUAAUUUAUACAUAAAGUAGUUCACCAUUACAUAGGAUAAGAUAAUAGGACUAAGACA
rnacentral:rRNA from 1 species